AAAAGACAACCAGAUGAUGGGGAAGAGAAUAUUGAUAACAGAACUCAGAAGAGUAAAGUUGAGAAAAGUUAAAAUGAUAACCCUGCAUUCACCCAGCCAGAUUAAUCGUCAACGAAGGUCUGUUACUUGGAUACAUUAACAAUGGCUAAACAAUUUGAACUGCCUCUUCAAUAGGGUUUGCGAGUUUCGUAUGUAAACAAUUUCAUAAACAUGUAAAGAUUAAAACAACAUAGUUUAUAAGUUUUGUUGCCACAGUGUGUUAGCUCCGCUAUGACGUUUGCCAGUGAAACUUCACGUAUACUGAUUUGUCCGGCGACCGCUCGUCAACGUUUACUUUAAAGUCUGUCUUUUCCUUGAGUUUAAAAUUGAUUGCUCUAAAAAGUGGUAAAAAUUUUAUUCUGGGUCAAUCUGCACAGAAUAAUAAGGAUAUACUUGGAAAUUUGCCAUUUUGGAACUUGUUUUUACAUUUUUUAAAUUUAAAUAGACAUUUUCAAUACUUAAGCUUUCAAAGUAUUAUCUUAUUUUUGAGUUUUGAAUUGAUAUUUUUGAAACUCAGAACAAGCAUUCCCAGGGGCGUCUUCACAAACUAAUGGAGAGAUAUUUUCGAAAAUUUAAAAACAAAAAAAAAGAUUUGUUUUUUGUUGUUGUUGUUAUUGUUGUUGUUGUUGUUGUUGUUUUUUGUUGUUUUUUAAUUUUAUUAAAUUAAAAACAAAUAUAUUUGUCCAGAUUUGAAAGUCUAUUUUAGCUUUAGUUGUGAUUGGGUUAUUCUGAAACUUGGUGCAAGAAUCCUCUGGGGACGUCUACAAACUCUAAUAGAGAAACUUUAACUAAUUUUAUUUAUUUAUUUAUUAAAUAAUUGCAGGCGAGUGCGCAGGG